CUUACCUUGCUGGCAGUCUUCCUCUCUCACACACACACCAUCCACCAUUAGAUUUUCAUGACCAUUAGACUCCCACCAGAGGCCACACAGAUGGGGCCACCCUAUCUUAGAUGUUCAGCCUCCACAACUGUGAGCUAAAUAGUCACAGAUGGAUAUGGCAUUGGAUUUUCAUUUUGAUUGGCAUCUCCCUCUUGACUUGUGCUGUUGAGCAUCUUUUCAUUAGCUUUUGGCCAUUUAUAUAACAUCCUUAGAGAGACAGGGACACGAGGCCAAGUCUCUUGCAUAUGGUGUGACAUCAGACUCUGCUUCUGCCUGCCUUGCCCAGAUAUUUGAGGCCAUGAAUAUGAGUAUAAAAAUUAAUAUAAAGAAGUAGAUUUGAUGGAAGAAGCCUGGGAGGUGAUUUGAGGGCUUUAGGAGGAGGGAAGUACAUGGCCAAGCCUCGGGUGGUGUGGGUGGCACCUGAAUUCCAGCCUGACCUCCCAAGAGCUCCAGCUGAAGCCCCUACACUCCAGCUCAGGGGAUGCUUCUAAGACGGUUCUGCUGAUCAUUUAUGUCUCCACCAUGUUUAAAUACCAGGAAAGAAGCUGUUUCAAAUAAAGGUACAUUUAU